rnacentral:rRNA from 1 species
AGGAAUAUUGGUCAAUGGGCGAGAGCCUGAACCAGCCAAGUAGCGUGAAGGAUGAAGGUCCUACGGAUUGUAAACUUCUUUUAUACGGGAAUAAAGUUUCCUACGUGUAGGAUUUUGUAUGUACCGUAUGAAUAAGCAUCGGCUAACUCCGUGCCAGCAGCCGCGGUAAUACGGAGGAUGCGAGCGUUAUCCGGAUUUAUUGGGUUUAAAGGGAGCGCAGACGGGAGAUUAAGUCAGUUGUGAAAGUUUGCGGCUCAACCGUAAAAUUGCAGUUGAUACUGGUUUCCUUGAGUGCAGUUGAGGCAGGCGGAAUUCGUGGUGUAGCGGUGAAAUGCUUAGAUAUCACGAAGAACCCCGAUUGCGAAGGCAGCUUGCUAAACUGUAACUGACGUUCAUGCUCGAAAGUGUGGGUAUCAAACAGGAUUAGAUACCCUGGUAGUCCACACGGUAAACGAUGGAUACUCGCUGUUGGCGAUAUACUGUCAGCGGCCAAGCGAAAGCAUUAAGUAUCCCACCUGGGGAGUACGCCGGCAACGGUGAAACUCAAAGGAAUUGACGGGGGCCCGCACAAGCGGAGGAACAUGUGGUUUAAUUCGAUGAUACGCGAGGAACCUUACCCGGGCUUAAAUUGCAGACGAAUUACGAGGAAACUUGUAAGCCGCAAGGCGUCUGUGAAGGUGCUGCAUGGUUGUCGUCAGCUCGUGCCGUGAGGUGUCGGCUUAAGUGCUAUAACGAGCGCAACCCUCGUGGUCAGUUACUAACAGGUAACGCUGAGGACUCUGGCCAGACUGCCAUCGUAAGAUGUGAGGAAGGUGGGGAUGACGUCAAAUCAGCACGGCCCUUACGUCCGGGGCUACACACGUGUUACAAUGGGAGGUACAGAAGGCAGCUACCCGGCGACGGGAUGCCAAUCCCCAAAACCUCUCUCAGUUCGGACUGGAGUCUGCAACCCGACUCCACGAAGCUGGAUUCGCUAGUAAUCGCGCAUCAGCCACGGCGCGGUGAAUACGUUCCCG